UGGGGAAUUUUGCACAAUGGGGGAAACCCUGAUGCAGCGACGCCGCGUGAUUUAGAAGGCCUUCGGGUUGUAAAAAUCUUUUUUACGGGAUGAAAAUGACAGUACCGUAAGAAUAAGGUCCGGCUAAAUACGUGCCAGCAGCCGCGGUAAUACGUAUGGACCGAGCGUUGUCCGGAAUCAUUGGGCGUAAAGCGAGCGCAGGCGGUCAAUUAAGUCUGAUGUGAAAGCCCCCGGCUCAACCGGGGAGGGUCAUUGGAAACUGGUUGACUUGAGUGCAGAAGAGGAGAGUGGAAUUCCAUGUGUAGCGGUGAAAUGCGUAGAUAUAUGGAGGAACACCAGUGGCGAAGGCGACUCUCUGGUCUGUAACUGACGCCGAGGCUCGAAAGCGUGGGUAGCAAACAGG
rnacentral:rRNA from 1 species